GUUUGUCUCUUACAGAUACACUUACAUCAUGUCUCACUGUCUUAUGCAUUGGAGUCUGGAGCUUCGCCAGCAUGCAGUGAACCAGAGAAGCGGAGAGACGUCCCAGCGGCCCGCAGGCCUGACAACACCCUUCUAUCCCCCUCUGAAAUCUUUAUUUACUGCCCCCACACUCCUGCUCCCUCGCCGGGGCAAUUAAAGCACCGCUGUGUCAGACGGGGAAAGGCUGAAAUGUAAAGGGAUACCUUGAAUGCAAUAUGACUCUUGGAAUCAGACAGCGGUUAAAGUUUCGCGCUGAAGACGUGCAGACGUGAUCGCCAGAAUGUUGCACCUGAUUCCUGAACCCAGAGGAGAAUUUUAGCACUCGGAUGUUGCCCUUUUAAGGCUCCAGAGACUCCAAGGCAUCAUGAAAUUUACAUUAUUUACUUUUGCAAUACAUGUCUGUGGUCUCAUCGUGGAUGAUUCAUCAGUACAUGCUGUUUGAAAGGACAAAAAGGUUUGUCACUCGUAAAUACGUCACAUUAUGGAUGCAAAGCGGUCGUGAAUGGCGUAUCAAAUGUUUCGUUGGAAGUGUCAUUGAAGACAUCAAAAUACGCACAGUUCAAAUUGAGCUCAGCGUUGUUUGAGACAUUGUUUCAACUCUCUUCUCUUCUGGUUAUUUUAUGAUUUGAAUCUGAGGUCGUUUGUGAUCUUUCUUUAUUUGCAACAAAGCCCUUCCAAACUCAGUCGCUCACAGGUUGCUCAUUCACAGCUCAAAAACUUAAUGGAGAUCCCAGUUAUGUUUCGUGCGAGUAUAAACCUUGUUUUAAGAUGUUUCUCCUAAACUGCUCGGAAGAAAUAAAAAAUACACCCAAAUGAAUCAGUUUUUGAGUUCAUACUGAUAUAUCUGAGAACAGUUUGAGACAUUGUUGAGAAACUCUG